AAACUUAAAGGAAUUGACGGAAAGGCACCACCAGGCGUGGAGCUUGCGGCUCAAUUUGACUCAGCACGGGAAAUCUCACCAGACCCGAACAUCUCUAACGAUUGACAGAUUGAAAGCUCUUUCUUAAUGAAGUGGAUGGUGGUGCAUGGCCGUUCUUAAUUCCGAUAACGAACGAGACCCCGCGGUAUGACCCUGUAGGGGUUUACCUGCAUGAAAAGGGGCGAUAACAGGUCUGUGAUGCCCUUAG
rnacentral:rRNA from 1 species